AUAGCUAAAUUAGGAAAGCACUUCACUUACACCGAAAAGUUAUCCGAGCAAAUCGGAUUACUCUGAUACUUAAAAGCUAGCUACACAUGAUAUUUAACAAAUAAUUAUUAAUACUUAUUAAUAUACUAACAAUUAUCAUUAAACCAUUUUCCAUGUCAUAGUAUUGGUGAUAGAAAAGGAAAAAUUAAGCCAUAGACCAAGUACCGCAAGGGAAUGCUGAAAGAGAAGUGAAACAACUUAGUAAAGUAUCAUAAAGCAGAGAUAAAAACUCGUACCUUUUGCAUCAUGAUUUAGCAAGUAUUACUAAGCAAAAUGUCUUCUAGUUUAUCCCCCCGAAACUCGGUGAGCUACUCCAGGACAGCCUAUUAUAGGGCAAACACGUCUCUGUGGCAAAAGAGUGUGAAGAUCCUUGAGUAGAGGUGACAGACCUACCGAACCUAGUUAUAGCUGGUUGCCUGAGAAUUAAAUAGAAGUUUAGCCUCUUACUUUCUGAGUUUAAUCAUGACUUAUCAUUGUGACAAUAUUAGAAUAUUAAAGAGUUAUUCAUAAGGGGUUCAGCCCUUAUGAAAGAGGAUACAACCUUAUCCAGACGGUUAAUGAACAUAUAAUUUUAAGUUAAUGUUUUAGUGGGCUUAAAAGCAGCCAUCUAAAGAAAAAGCGUUAAAGC
rnacentral:rRNA from 1 species